rnacentral:rRNA from 1 species
CUAGUUUACUAGAUAAGUCGCGAACGGCUGAGUAACACGUAGGAAUUUACCCCAUGGUGUGGAAUACCUAUUCGAAAGAGUAGUUAAUACCGCAUAAGAUCUCCGGAUGAAAGGAUGUAACUAUCCGCCGAGGGAAAAGCUUGCGGCCCAUCAGCUUGUUGGUAGGGUAAUGGCCUACCAAGGCUACGACGGGUAGGGGGCUUGAGAGAGUGUUCCCCCAGAGAGGCACUGAGAUACGGGCCUC